CGAGGAACGGCGGCGGAUGCGCGGGCUGCAGGGCUGCUCCCUUGGAAGGGAGCGGAGGGGACUGGCGGCGCUCGGGCACGGGCAUCGCCGGCAGCGCUCAGCCGUGCCGCGUGGGAUCGCUUGCACCGAGGCAAGCACCCAUUUGGGCGCUCGAGGUGGAGCUAGAGGAGAAAGUCCUCUCCUCCUGACUGGAAAGCAUCCAGAAAAGCUCAGGUGCAGCUCAGAUGCAAGAUGGAGCUCAGCCCUGAGUGAAAACUUUUGGGGAGCGCUGGCUCAAGGGGAGCCGGGACUCUGACAGAAAAGACAGCCGCCUCCAGCCGAGCCCUCCGGUGGGCAAGGGAAUGGCUCCGCAUGCUCUCCGUAACUCAUAUGUGGGAGCGGGGAGAGGGGGGAUGAGUCUGGAGCGCGUCCUUGUGCAGCACCUGGAGCAUCUCUGGAGCAUCUUCGCCAGCUUUGUCCCCCCCUGGGACGACCUGCAAACCUUCAAAUUGCGGAAGCAAUGUUCAGAACGAGUCGUAGGUUCCAAGAGGAGAAAUCCUACGUGUGGGAUUCCUCUGAAACCCAGCGGGAACGGAAAUCGAAAAUGAUCAAAAGAUGCAAAACAUGAUCUGAGACAGCUGGAGGAUUUGCACAAGGAGCUGAAGCAACAUCUGGAAACUUCUAAGAGAGGUUUAUAAGAGGUCACCUGCAGACAAGGAUAAAAGGCUCCAGUGUCCGGAGAGUGUGAAAUCCUCCUGGAAGGUUCCCGGUUUAAAAUGGCAAGAUGGAUCAAAGAGGUGAUCAGCAGCAUGACCGUCGUGGAAAAAAAAUUGCUUUCCAGAAAAUAAGAAACGCAAGAAAAGCUUUGGCCAACUUAUGAGCCACAGCGAACCACAGCAGAGAGUUAAGACGCUGAAAAAUCACUCAGAAAAGGAAAUCAAAGGCUUGUAGGUCACCACAGGAAAUAAACAGCCUCCUGCUGGAGACGAGGGCUGGCCAGGACACCACCAAACGCCAAGCGUUUGCCUCCAUUUGCAGUCUGGGAAGAAGGAAUCAGACUGCCCGUCCCUGCUGGGUCUGUGUGAAUGGCGUCUCUUGGAGAAUCAUUUGGGAGGUUUGUUCAGUGCAGUCCGUAACCACAGUGUGAGGGAAGGCCUCUGAGGUGCGGUGCCUAGGGGCCAGCUUGAUUGCUCCAGCUCUUAUGGCGUUGGAUGCUCACCUUCAGGGAAGAAAAGAAAUAAAGAGACUGAACUGUCUAGACUGGGCGUAUGGCACAGAAUCAGCCAUGGGAUUAGAGAGCCGGCCAACCAAGUGCUGCAAAACGCAGGAAAACAAGAUUCUAGCUGAACCAGGAGAGGAUCUGCAUCACUUUGCUUGAGUAACAAGCCAGCCAGUGCUGGAAGGUGCUUCCCAGAAAGCAUCUCGGUAGCUGGAAAGUGAGCUGGGAAACCCAACUGCCCUCCAACAAGAUAUACUUGUGGAGUACAACAGUGUGUAUCUUUCAAGCACCAAGGGAAAUGCACUCUGAUCGUGGUGAGUAAGUUUGGAGCUGGAGAUGAAUUACUGUCACAGCGCAUGCAAACAACCUGUGGAGAACCUUGUUAGGUGAUGCCCAGAGUGGGAAAAUAAUAUGUUUUAUUAUUUUAAAAUUGACAGAUAUUCUGGACUGUACCGGGAGUCCAUGCAUUUCCAAAACAACACCUUAGCUAAGCUAAGGGAAAAAUCCUAUUGGUAAGAUUGAGAAAGGCUGUAGAAAAUACAUGCAGGAGAUUAGUGCCCCUAUUGCAAAUAACGGUCCCACAGAAACACAGAGAGACACCAUGAAGUAAUGUCUGACAGUCAUUUCAUUAAUGGUCUGCACUGCCUGAUGUUUUUGUGUUUCUGACUGAAGAAGCUUGUGGGAGCUGCAGACUAUUUCACAAAAUGCCCCAAAGCUUGUCUAAUAGGGCACCAGUGCCAGAUGUCCAAGUGAAAGACAUCUUCUCCCUCCAAGUCCUAGGAGGUAUGGGAGGAUUGCACAAGGCUCAAGGGAGAAACACUGAAUCCAGAACAAUGCAGCAGAUCUGUGAGGCGGCUGACAGCCCUGAAACAUCUCCAUGCGACUGCAGCCCGAAGGGUUGGUGUUGGUGGGAUGGUGUUUCAGACUUACAGGCAACAGGGCUUCUCCACUGAAGUGCUUCAAGUGGUAAGACCCAGCAUAUCACAGUCCUUUCAAAAGCCUUGGGAGCAGCAAAGCCCAUUCUCAUCAUUUGGGUGAAAACCAGAGUAUUUACUGUGCCUGUCUUUUAGGACGAGGGUUUUCAUCUAGGCUUUACCAGUCAGCCCCAUGGAGGUUGUCUCCCACUUCCCGUCCCACAAAAUGAGCUUGCAUUUUUACUACUUGCCCUUUUAUGUGGAUUAAUACGAUAAUUUAUGUUCUUUUGCUGUUGUCAUCGUUUUAAGCAUCUUUGUUCAGUAUAGCCCAAACCAAUGCAUCUCUAUGCCAGGGAACCCCUGGGUUUUGACCACCCAGUAACACUGCCGUCAUCAGUGGGUGCCAGAACCCAUCAUGUUUCACAUCCCCAUGCCUGUAGAGUUCAGGCAGACUGAGAAGUGGAGGUUUUCUCAGCAGAGGGAGGGAACACUGGCCUAGAUUAUGUGUUACCAUUAAUUACCCAACUUGUGCCUCCGUCUGGCAGCUGAAACCCAGGCAAUGCAGAAGCUAGUGGCCCUUUCCAGCCUGGUCCUGUGUGCUGCAUGGUGCCUUAGGGAUCUGCAAUCAACGCUUUGAUUAUUAGGGUAAAAUUGGUCAUAAAGGGGAAAUAGGAUGAAAUAAAAUGAAAGUGCAGCUAUCAGUUUCACUUGAGUUCCGCGUGAUCCAUUUUAAUUUAAAUGGAAAAUGACACAUAACUUAUCUAUAAUGGUUUAAAGCCCCGCUCAGAAUGCCGUUGCCAACACCAGACAGUGGCAUGUUUUAGCAGUGCUGUGAUGGACAUAAAGCUCUUUAGUAUGCACAGAAAACCAAAUAUCAGACGCUGUGCUGAGAAAAACACCUGGGCCUAGCCAAAAAAGCGUGGAGCCAGGGGCAGGAAGAGCUGCCUAGCGCAACCUCUCACUGUGAGGCUUGGCACCUUUUUAUCUGUUUCUGAGCAUUUCAAAUGGCAGGAGUAGAAAACACCCAUCACAAGGGGUGCUGUGAGGCAAAGUCGUGCAUGUGGAGCAUUUCGACAUCCCCAGGAGCCUGCUGUUACAGGGUCACCUCAGGCCAGGGCGAGCUCCUGGUGUACUUCAUUGCAGGGAUGGGAGAGCUCAGCUGGAGCACGGGACACAUGGCAGCUCCCAAAAGCAAAAUCCCUCGAGCCAGCAGCCCGUCGCACAAUGUUUCUGUGCUCCUGGUGGGGUGCAAGUGAAACAAAAUUUCCCCUUGGAGAAGGUGAAGAAGGAGCGAGCAACACUUUUGCCCAGCAUAGCGGAGAUGGAGAAGCCCCAGCACACACAGACAGUGUCAACAAGUGUCCCCCUGCCCUGGGACAGCUGGGGUGGCCAUGCCCGUGAGCUCCCAGCAAGGCUCUGGGGGUGGGCUGGGCACGGGUGUCAGAGCCAGGUAGGCCGUGUCGCCCCACCGCAGGCGGCUCUGGCCGGUGCCUCUUUCCUCAGGAGGAGGAAGCUCGCGCACAGGGCAGGAAGCAGCAAUGGAACAGCCAGCUCAGGAAGGGGACGGGGCCAGGAGUUUGUUUUUAACCUGCUUCUUGUUUAUUUAAGCUGGGAGGAAGGCGAAUAAAAGCAGCCACUGAAAGGGGAUGAUGGUGUCACAAGCAGUCGGAGGCAGAAAAUGCCUUUCCAACGAUUUUCACCAGAGCUGAGGUGUUAAAAACUGGUAUCCUGAGCCUCAUACCAAGCGAGCAGCAGGGGCUCAAUAGCACUGCUUUGAGGGCUGGAGGAGGGCUGUGAGGCUGUCUGGUCCACUGCUGUAGGGAUUUUUGUCCUGCUUAUUUUGGGUAGGGUAGGUAAAAGCAAGUUGUUCCCCUUUGCACAGAGACAUCAGGUUUGCACUUGAGGAUGAAGAAGCCCAUGCUUCUGCUGCCAGCUGCUAGUGCUGCCCAUGCUAUGGGGCUCACUGCUCCUGCCCUGAGACGCUCUGUCUUGCAGACUUUCUGGACCCUCCGAGGCACAUAACACUGUCCACAUAUAGUUGAUUCUGCAGGUAGGGCAGCAACAGGUUUGCAAACUAUUUCUCUGGUGUUCAUGUUUCCCCUGCAUCACUUGUUCUCCCUGCUCUGGGCUUCAGCUGAGGGCAUAUUUCUGCUCCAACAAAGCAGGGCUCACUGGUGAGACCCAUGUCCCAAAUGCAACUGGGUAAGAAUAGGUGCUGCUUCCCCCAUCUGCAGCACCAUAGUGCCCCACAGCCCGCAUCCAUUCCCACCAGGUGCCACAGGAGGUCCUGGCUGUAUGGAGCUGGCAGUGGGAUGCUGGACUGGGGUCAUCCUGCAUCCUUGAGUUUCCAUCACCUCCUCCUGUUCAUUUUACCUUGAAAGGACCAGGAAGGGACCCUUGGUUUUACCAACCUGAGUCCAUGCUCUUCAAUACCCCCAAGCAUUUCUAGGAUGAACUUCUUCAGUGUCCUGUCCCCUUAAGAGAAUAGAUGGAUUUGCCCUAAUAUAGUUGUAAUUCUCCUUCCAAGUUUGCUCAGAAAGCAAACGAAGACAUUACAAAAAUCCAGCUGACCAAAAAAACCCAGCUCUGGCCAGCCAUUUCAGGCUAAGCUAAUGCAAUUAUCAUUCUUAUCCAUAUUGUGAUGCAGUUAGUCCUGCUGAGCCUAGUGCUCAACUGUCCUGAUUUUUCAUCAUGGAUUCUCUUUGUUCCUCUUCAAGUAUAACUCCUGAUUAAGGGCUGUGAUUUGAGAAACUUAACGUCAGAUUUUAUAGUGACAGUUGAUUUUUCUUUCAGCAAGUUUGUUUGGUAUGGAUAAGCUGACAUAUCACAUUGAUGUGUUUUUGACUCCUUUUUACUUUUUGGUUUCCUUUGUGGAUUCUUUUCCUAAUUCUUCAGAAAAUAUUGUGGAGCUCAAGCUCUCAGCGAGGAUGAUAAACCUGCUUGCAGGUGUAUUCUGUGUAUGAGCAGGAGAGGUGAAGUGCAAGCAGGAAGCAAGUGCCUGCUGCAAUUUGGGUCACACUUCCAAAGGGAAUUAUCAUUCCUCACAUGCUUUCUCACACAGCAGGACACAGGAGUGCAGGGAUUGCUGCCUUGGAUCCAGGCUCACAGUUCUUUUGCUCCCUUGUCUUGUCUCUGACGGUGCCCAACUGCUGAGUGCCCCAAAACCGGAACAGGGAACACACAGUGUCCGAUUGUAACUUGUUUAUAGGAAAAAAAGUCUCCCCAACCCCUAGGCAUUUAUCACUUGGAAUGUCACCUGAAGAACUCUGGUGUAUAUCCCAUCCCUUCUGCAUUAUUAUCUCAAGUGAGCUAAGCCGGACUCACAGCCUGUAUAAACGCCUGUGUGUUGUUUCAGAUCUCCUGAACAUUUCGGCAGUCUCCUAUGGCAGUAAGUCCCAGUCUUGUGAUGUGCUGUUGAACACAUCCCCAUUCCUCCAGCCAUUCACUGCUCGUUUUUAAAAAUCAAAUCAAACAUCCUUUUUCCCUUCUACUGAGUGAUAAUUUGGACUUUCUUGAGCCUCCUUCCCUUGGGCUUUGCUAUCUCCUCUCCGUAUCGGUCAGUCAGCACCAACUCUUCUAGUAUUCCCUUCCAUCAUCAUACAAGAGCUUUCCCUUCAUCUUGAGCAGGAGUUUCUUUGGCCCUUGAUGCACAGAACGAUCUGUCCUCCUGGGUAUCCAUACUGUUAGCUCACCAAGACUGCAGAUGUAGGAUUAGUUAUUUUGAGAUCCAGGCAAAGAGAGUCACACUAUGGAUAGGACUGUACUAACAUAAGGAGCUGUUUCAGCCGUGAUACUAAUAAGAUGACUUGAUUUUUUUACUGUGAUCUGAGCCAAGACUUACGGUGGGAACCUCAGCCAGGUUCUGGCCACUCCUUUUACCAUUUUGUUUCCUCACAAGGCCAGACCUCCCCGCUCACCAUUCCCAUGCCUCCCAGCAGGCUUCUUGCCACGCUGAGGCCAUUGACCUGUAAGUGCCAGGAUGGCCAACCUAGUUUUAAACAAUUGUACUUGCACCAGAAACCUAAUUUUGCAGUUGAAAAAUGUGCCCCAGCAGCCCCUGUUUGUGAUCCAUAAAGCAGACAGAGGUGGGUCUACUCUGAUGGUGUUGGCUGGCAGAAUGAAUGUAAAAGGAGGAGCUGGCAUAGGAGAGCGAUUGAAAGAGCAAUUAAAAUGAUCAGAGAGACAAAAUCUAGCACAGAUCUGGUGUUAUGCCACUUGAAGAGCAAUGGGAGUGAGGGCUCAGCUGACAGCAUAACUUUGAAGGUGGCAGUGAGAGGGAAAGCCAGUCAUGCAAGAGUCCCCAGCACAGCCGUGGACUCACUGUACCUGCCCAGAGGUGAUCUCCUGGGUCCUUGGGAUCAUGUAAAGCUAGCAGGGAGCUGCCAAAAACACUGCUGCUGCUGCAGAGGACACCCCUGUGCAGCACAUCUGUGCUACUUUGGGAUUCAUGAGACAAAAGAUUGUUUUUCCUUCUGCAUUGUAGUUGUAGCUCAUGGUUUGAUGCACUGAAUAUCCAAGGACAUGACUACCCAUGACUGUGCCUAUGUAAGAUGGCCUGUGCUGGCAGGAGGCGGGUGACAGACAGUCAGAGAUACCAUUGACAUCAUUUUAAGGCUGGGUGAAUAUACUGCAGCUGAAAAAGCACUAAAAAUUGGCAUUUAUACACCCUUUACAGUCAGCUGUAAAGAUAGAAUAGACAGUGCUGGUGGGGAUGCUUUCUUUUCAAGUUAGUUAUUCUAUACGUCUCAUUAAAAGACUCCACUUUCUGUCAACUAAAACUUUGCCAAAUGUUUUGAGGUGGUGUUUUCCAUGUUAGAUGUCUGCCUCUGGCUGACUUUUUUUUGAGGGAAAAAUUCAGCCAGUCUGGUUUGGCCAACUCCUGGCACCGAGUGCAAGAGGCAGGGGCAGGAGAAGCUGUUUCACACCAUGCUAAAUGCUCAGUGUUUCUGGUGACCUUUUCUCUGAACAGCUCUAGCACACCCCUGCUUCGGAGCAGUAAUCUGUAAUUUGGCAAGAGGGCCAGAUGUUGUGUCAGGCGUUUGGUUUUCAUUUUCCAUGAGCAAAUUUGCUCCACUUGGUCGCAUUAUAAAUCCCGAAGGAAGGUAAAGAAGCCAUGGCUUGCUUGUGGUCACCAGGCUGCGUGUCUACCAUGCCAAGGAGGCCACCUGGCCAACUGAUGGGCAAAGGUCCUGGUGGCCAUUGGUGGCAGCUGUGGCUCAGCACAGGCUGGCACUGAGUGAAGAGGCCCUUUGGCCACCCUGGGUUUGCACAGCAAGAGCAGGGCCAGCCUGACUUAAAUGCAGAGAGAGAAAGCUGGCUUGCAGGCGUCUCUGGCUUGCUGCAUGGGUUGUCGGGUUAGCGGGGUUUUACAGCCCCACUAAUGAGCGACAGGGCUGUCAAUACAGCAUGAUACAGUGGGAUUUCUGUCUUUUUGUGAUUUGAAAAGUUGCACCUGGAAAGUUAUGUUAGAGGUGAUUCAAUCUGCACAGUUAAAUAUUGGCAGGUUUAGAAGUGCUAGGAUUGAACUGACCUGUGCAAUUUCAAUUCAGUUUCUGAAGCACAUUUAAGAGAUACAUAUCUAUCACUACAUUCUCCAUCCCACACAGCUGGCCUUCCCAUCUGACGUUUCACAUAAUCUUAGUUACAGCGUAUUGAUAUCCCACAAUCUUUUGAUGCUUUUUUCAGUAUUGAACUUGAACUGAAAGCAUUUGAAACCAGCUGAAAUUUCACAAAUCUUACUGUUGCUGUGUACCCUAAAAGCAAUACUCUUCCUUGUCGCUUGUGUUGAAAGAGCUGUUUAGGACUGAGACCCAACAUUUGCCAUUAGCCCGUGGCUUUUAUGUGGAUGUCUGUGAACUUGCAGGCUUGAGCAGAAGGGGCCCAACUCUGUGCUGUGUGAACCACGGGGUGGCACAGGAUGCUCAAUGUCAUCUCUGUCACGUACACUGACCCCAUGGCGAUCAUUCAAUGUGCCAGUCUCUCUGCCAUCUGAUCAUUGCCUGUACCAACACAUCUGCCUACUGGUAUUUAUAAAAUAAAUACAUCCAAGAGUUCUAAUAGCAACAGUGCUACGUGAGCAGGCAACCAAAUUUCCUACAGCAUGCUACUUCUAAUACUAUUAAUUCCUCCACAAGCAAAGGACGUGUGCAUAUAGGAACGAAUGAUCCUACUGUAAGGGCACUCACCUGGACUCAGGUGGCAGGAGUGGGCCAGUCACAAAUGGCCCAUGUGGCCUUGAAUAGACCUUGACCCAACUCACCAGCGUGAGGGAGUGGGGCCAGAAAGGGCCCUGAUUUAACACGAGUAAGUCCAUGAGGGAAUGGAUGAUGAAAAAUGAACACUGGGAAAUGCAGAGCAGCACAGGCAGGAGGGAGUGAGUGACAGAACAAGAGAGCUGCGGCCACUGUAUCUUUGAAUCUUCCAUGUUUAUUAGAAGAUUUUGGUCUUGUUUCAUUAAAACAGUUUUCAUUUUAUUUAGUAUACAUCCCCCUGUGUCUCAUGGUUGUUACCCAUGGGUGCCCAAGGGAUUUGUGCAGCUGAGAAGCUUAACUGUCUUAGGUGUCGUCAAUUCUGUAGGUAACAUCAAUGCAAAGUGAGCAGCGUUUUCAGGUAAUUAAAAUGCUACACUUCAAAAUCACUUUUCCUAAUUACUAAUAUUUAGCAGCACUAUUUUAACUGCAAUUUCCACGUUCCGUGGGGAUUUGAACUCCGCUAAUUUCCCACUAACUCUCUUGGCACCAUUUAGCAUAUCAAAAUGACCAUGAAAUUGGAAAACCUUAGUCAUUUUUCUUCUCCAGGAACUCAUGCUGGCAGUAACAGGAAAAAUAUUUGGUAAAGCAAAAAUGUGACCAAAUCCAAGCCCUUUCGCCCUUUUUCCUCACCAAAAAGCAGCUGUGCUACAAUUCUUUCUGACCUAGAGGAGCACAGGAGCAGCUCAAGCCACAAGCUGGGAUGCCCUAUAAAGCUGGGCAGAGAGGUAGCGCUAAAAAGCAUUUUCUUGGCCAUAAAAUGAGUCAAUAUCUGCUGAAAUCAGCAUCUCAAUCUUUUAACUCCCAUUCUUGGCAGUGGCUGCUGGAACUGAGCUGCUACGCCUGUGCAACGUCAGACACCAAACCACUGGCAGAAUGAAUGCUAGAUCCCAAGCGUGCUGUUUCCCAGGCUCCUGCUCUGCCUAGCAGACCACACUCCCUCCUCCUGUAAGACAGCAGUGUCCUUUACAAAUUGUGAAAAAGGUAACAGGAACACGAGACUUCAGUUUGGAGUAAGGCGGAGUGCUUUUGCAGCACUCCCAAGUAACCAUCACAGCAAUCCAAACACAUAAGUAGCAUCAACACACGAAUUUGCAAUAUGAAAUGUUUAGUUAUUUAGCAAUAGAAUCUUCAAAUUGGCCUCCGACAGUUACUCUGAAAAGCUACAUAAACAUUCAAUACCAAAAAUGAUAAUAUUUUUUUUUCUUUUUUUUUUACUGAAAGGGAAUACACAAAUCCCUUCAGUGAACGCUUGUCUGCACAGAUCAAUGUCAGCUCUCAUUCAUUCACUGCUUUUAAGUAUUUGAGUUUAUUCCUUUUAUUUGGGUCUUAUUCACCUUGCUUUGCUCGAGAUGCUUUAGAAUCAUAGAAUUAUAGAGUUGUUAAGGUUGGAAACGACCUCUAAGAUGAUGAGGUCCAACUGCCAGCCCAUCCCCACCAUGCCCCAAAACUACAUCCCUCAGUGCCACAUCUACAGGUUGCUUGAACACCUCCAGGCAUGGUGACUCCACCCCUCCCCUGGGCAUCCUGUGCCGAUGCACCACCGCUCUUUUGGAGAAGAAAUGUUUCCUAACAUCCAAUCUGAACCUCCCCAUGCACAACUUGAGGCCAUUACUUUUGAUUAAGGGAAAUUCUGUCUUUCCUAGGAGCUCUAAACACAGCCUUUCUGGCUCUCUGUUGUAUGCCCAGCAUCCCACAGCCAGCCCCACACAAAGCCCUCCCUUACAUCCCCACUCUGUCUCCUCUUUGCAACCAGCGUUAUCAGGAAGGCUUACAUCAUGGCCCUGGCCCCACUGCUGCAUUGCCUGCUGACCCCGUGCACACCUCAUAACCUUUCCUUGCCUGAGCCCAUCUGCCCAUUAGAGCAAUGAAGCCUCGUUGACCUUGGUGGGAUGAGCCUAGCAGCAAGAAUUUGCUCUUUUGCAUUUGCUUUCCCCACUUGUAAACUGAGCAUCAUAAUACUUGCCUAGAUCAAAGAGGGUACGGCGAGAAUUAAAUAAUUAAUGUAUGUAAAGCACUUUGAAAGAUGAAAGAUGCUAUAUAAGUACAAAGUAUUAACUACAAAAAAACACACACAGCCCUGGUUACUGAUGUAACCCUCCGGUUUAUUCUAUAAGAAGUGCACGAAAUCUAAAUAAUUGCCACUAACAAAUAAUGAGUUGGAUAAUGCCAAGACCUCGAAAGAGCUGUGCAGGGGACUGAGAGCCUUGCGUGCUCAUGUCCGAUUUAGGGCUUCCACAUGAGCGAGCAGGAGCAGAAAGCCUGCCUGCAACCAGAAUUUGGAAGGGAAGGCCCUUCCUGGAUCACCAGAUCAUCUCGAGUAGCCAUGUCAAAUGGUGUAAUUCAAAAACUGAUACUGCCCUGCCUCCAAGCAAGUUAUGUCUCAUGCCGCUCUCCAACCUCGCUGCUCCAAUGGUUAGAGACCUUCUUCUGAUUUCCAAGCUAAACACGCUCAUGGCCAAUUUGUAUCCAUUUGUCCCCCUGCCAACAUUGUUUUAAGUUUAACACAAGGUAUUUAUAGACCUAGCGUGUCCUCUCUAACCUCUAAUUUUGUCAGGUUGAACGAACCAAUCCCUUUCAGUUUUCCACUGUUAAGUAGGGUCUCUAGCCCCCCACCAAGCAGCCUACCAACAGCUGGUUACGCUUGCUGCAGCCACAACUCAUCUUUCUCAAACAGAGGUGAACAAAACUGCACGCAGCCUCCUCACAGGGGCCACCAGAAGUUGCUCCCCGUCAUUAAUCCAUUUCAGGCACUGUUGGAAGUCUGCGACGCAGCCUAUAUCAUAUGCACCUUUUUCGUGGCUGUGUCACGUUGCUGUUUCACAUUAAUUCUGUGAUCAGUCGAUCUGCUUGAGUCUGUCACUGACAUCGUAUGUUCUCAGAGAAAUUCCGACGCUUGAGCCUUUCGUGCCAAACCUUACAUUUGGCACAAUUGGAUUUUGUCCUAUUCUCAUUGUUCCCAUCCUCAGGGUCAGGCAGUUCUUCCUGUUUGAUAGGCUGGAGCCUCCUGUGUAUUGACAAGCGCUCACAUUUGUGUGUCACCAGGAAAUUUCAUGAUGCACCCCUCCCUCUUUUGUGUGACAGACAAAUACUGACUGAGAGCAGUCUCCAAUGGCCUCAUUGGAGCCUCAUAUUGGCCUCAUAUGGUUCCACUAGCAGCUGCCCUCUAGAAACAGCACAUCUUGCUUUCAGCCCUCACAUUGCUAUAUCUCAUCUACCCUGCAGGGAUGGCUGAGGUUCUUCCAGAAUGAGAGGUGAUGCAAGUCUGUAGGGCCUGCUGGACCAAACCAGUGCUUUUACAGAGGUUGAGUUCCCUUGGGCACAUUGCAAAAGAGAGUCAAAAUAGUUGUGAAGCCCUGACAUUUCAUAACAAUGCGAAGCCAAGGAAAUAUGAGGCUCAGAGUCACUGUGGAUGGGAGGGAAUAUUGUUCAACAUCUGGAGGAGCACAUGCAGUCAUUCUGGAAGACCUAUGUCCUCAGAAAACCUUUCACAUAGAGGAUCACCGGUCUGAGGACACCAGACUGUGCUGUUAUUGUUGUUUGGAGGGAAACCCAGCCUGAGGAAAGGUGGAGUGUGGGACAAGGGUCAGGUGACUGCUCCAGGGGAGAGAAGGGCAGACACUGAGUCCAUAAUCUUCUGUUACCUACAAAAAAAGAGAGGGAAAAUUUGAUUUUUCAUAGAGGUGAUUUAUAGGUGGUUUGCAUCAAUGCAGCAGUGUGGAAAGAAAAUGGAUACAGAUGAGUAUCCCUCCAGCUUGUUGCGAGGCAGAAGUCUAUGGCACAGCAUGUGAGCAGCUCCAUAGUUUCUAGGCUAAACCCAGGAGGAGACUGAAAGAAACAAAUAUGAUGUACUAUGUUCUCCAGUCUCCAGGGAAGAAAGAUCACAGGCUCCAUUUUAGAACCAGCCAAGAGCUAGGGGGAAGCCUUGCCCACACUGGAGCCAGUAACAAAGUUUGGUUGGACCAAAGUUGUCAACUCCAGCGUGAAGGUUCCUCAGGAGGGUAGAGUUAGACUAGAGAUGAGGAAGAAAUUCUUCACUGUGAGGGUGGUGAGGCCCUGGAACAGGUUGCUCAGCAAGGUUGUGAAUGCCCCCUCCCCAGAAGCAUUCAAGGCCAGGCUGGAUGUGGCUUUGAGCAACCUGGUCUAGAGGGAGGUGUCCCUGCCUAUAGCAGGGAGUUGGAACUAGAUGAUCUUAAAGGUCUCUUCCAACCCAAACCACUCUAUGAUUCUAUGAUUCAUGGCUCUGAGGAAAGACAGACAGACCCUAGCUCAGGGUCUGGCUGGAGGAAGGUCACAGCCAUUUGCUUGUGACAGAGACCUUGUCAGCAAACUAUCUGGGAACACAGGCUGGAUCCCUCGGUCAGACUAUGCCUUCUGGAGACGUAAAUAUCUGUUCCAGACAACUUGCAGUGCCUUUGAGCACGUCAAACCUUGAAGUACAGUUGGAGCAGUGAAUAACUCAGUGAGACUACCCAAGUGCCAGCGUGAGACCUUGAGCCAGCUGCAGAAACAGAGCCCUGAGUGUCUGUGAGUGCCAGAACGUCUGAAAAAUGAGAUACAUAUGCAUAUGCACCACAAAGUUUGUCCCAGAUCUGUGGAGAGAGCACCUUGUUACAGCUGCCUGUAGUGUUGCACCAACUCAGAAGCACUUUAUUUUUCAUAUGCCUCUGGAAAAAAGGACUUUCUAGUUUGACUACAAAGCACUGACUGCAUGGGACAAGCUGAGCGCACUUGGCACCCUCUGCCAUGCAGAGGAGCUCCCAGUCUCCCUCGCUGACUGAUCCCUCCAUCCCGGCUGUGCUUCCCACCCACGCUGUCAGAAUGAGCAAAGCCAGAGUUCAGUAUCGGCUCGGUUUUAAAUAUCAUUGCUGCAACGGGAAGGAUUUCUUGCUGUCCAUCCUUUCUCUCUGUGGACUCGCAGCUCUGAGAUGGAAGACCAGAGAGCUGAAUGCAGAGAGCCGUAUCUUGCCUUUCUUUUUCAGCUCAUCUUGUCCCUGAACAGAGAGACACUCAGUGCUACAUCCAAAGCUCCUAUUCCUGCAGUUGCAGCAUUAUAUAAGUCACCAGGCUUAAGAAUAAAAAUCCAAAUUUGUGUAGCUAUAGAAUAAACCAGCAGUACCCAAACACUGUAACUCUCUGUUGGCAGCAGAGAAGAACAGGACAUGCCAUGGGAAGGCUGAGCCAGCAGAGCUGCAGGUUGCCGCAUCCCAGAGGUGACACCAUCGCAGGGCUUCUGGCCAUCCUUGUGCCAGCACCAGCCUCCUCGGGACGUAGAAGGGGCUGGGUGGCCCUUGGCUGUACGUGACAGGCAUGGUCCUGCUGCAGAAGCUUCUCUCUCUCCUGCAGGGUCAAGCAUCACCAUUUAAUCCUCCUCAUUAAUAAGAAGUGUGAGCAGGAGCCCCUAUCCUUCCCCCACCACCCCGCGUCACGCCUGAGCCUGGUUGCGUGUCUGUGUGUGUGCAUCCCCGUGAGCACGUCCAGGAGCAGACCUAAUCGUUAUCCACGGCCAGAGCAUGAAUAAGAGGAUUUGCUUCCCUUUAAGCAAGUAAUAAUCAACACCCGGUGAGAAGGACUUAUGACCGUUACAUCUCAUUAAUGUGUUUUGACAGACAAUAGCCUCUAUGAAUACACUUUGAAGAAAGACCAGCUUUGGAGAGGGCACAGUGUUUGCAAACUCACUUUACUUCUUCAACUCCCUUCGCACUGCUUAGGGAGAAGAGAAGGACUCCAGGUUGGUAUAAAUGCUUGCUGGAACAAGGAAAUGUAUAUGCUGAGCUGCAGCAGCUGGCUUUAUCCAAUGUCGUAUUACGAUCUCUUGCCUCUUAUUUCUCCAUCCUGAUUCUGAGUGACUGGCAGCUGCAUCUCUCAAGGACCCCACUGCAAGCCUCAUGCAGAAGCAUAAUAAACGUGACUUCCACUCCAAAGAAACUACAGCAAGAGUAGGCGGCGAAACAGAAACAGUGAGAUCAUUAUGGACAGUGUAGCUACUGGAAUGUUUUCUAUGGGAGACCUCUGUAAGUGCCAGGGGCACUGGUUGGGCUCGGCUGGAGGUGCGGAGCUGCAGGCACAGGGCACCUGAGGGAGCUUCAGCCAAAGCAAAAACAGCAGAAGUUAAAUUGGUGUGGCACAGCCUCUGUGGGGGCUGCAAGGCAUGGUUUAUUUGCCAUCUGUGAGGACUGAUUUCUUCUGUACACACAGGUUUACCUGGUGGCCACCUGUGGUGGCUGGGGCCUGCAAGGUUGUUAAAUACAUGGCCGCUGUGUGGAGUAACCUCACGUAAAACAUCUCCUCCUCUACCACUUCUCGUAUCCGUCACUCUGUCCUGCAAAGCUGGAGUGCCUCAUGCUCCAGUCAAACUCCUAGUGAUGCCAGAAGGGCACAUGGAGCACACGUGAAGAGUGAUUUAGUUGGCUAAGACCUCGGGAGGUCAACUGGUCCAACCCAGUGCUCGCGGCAGAGCCAACAGAGACGAGAAGAAACGAGAACCGGCCUCAAAGGAGCAUGCUGAAAACAAGCCUCACCUCCGGCUGACCCUGAACUUUAAAAAUGUCCAUGUCAGAAGCCAGACUGAAUUGCGUGUGUCAGACCCAUUUCUAAUUGGCGGUGUCUUUUAUGUAAUUGCGCUUUCAAGAGCCAGAUAUUAUUAUUACCUGCUGUCAAUGGGCAUCGGCUUUUGGAAAGCACAGUGGCUGACUUUAUGUGUCUGCUUUUAGGAAGGACCUUUCAUCAUUUAUUUGAGACAGGGAACCCUCUGUUUCCCUGUUAUUUAGCAGACGGCGGCCGUGCUGGGCUCUGGGUGCCCGAUGGCACGUCAGCUCUGCCCGGCUCUGUGCCACAGGGCUGCUUUCUGGGCAAGGCCCUUGGUCCCAGGCAACGUGGCCGGCCCAACGCCUUCCAUCUCCCAAAUGCUGCUGCUCCCGGUUCGCGUGCUGCAGCGCUGUGACUGGCACUCCUCCUUGGGGAGAUAGUGGCACAAAUGCGAUUACACAGGAGAGUGUGUGUUUGUACGGCCUGAGCCUCACCAUCUCUCCCUGUUUCCCGUGCAAAAAUCACAGCAGAGCAAAACCCGAGGCUCGCGGUGCCCCAUGCAGCGCUGCGUGGGAGAAGGAAUAGGAAAGACCGUGUCAUCGUGAAGCUGCGGCCAGGUCCUGCCAUUUCUGCGCCUGACAUUGUGUGCGCUGUUGGACUUCUGGUCACUGUCACCCAGUGCGUCCUGCCAUUUGGCAGGGGGGAGAGCUGGAGCAGGCAGUGCUUCCCAGCAGAUCGUGCCUGGCUGUGGAAAAGCUGAGCGAGAUGACUCACUUUGUGUAAAGGACACCGAAAUUACAACUGCGUGCCACAUGAGAGAUGGUGGCUGGGCUGGAAUCAGAAAACAUCCUCAUCCAGGAAGGGUAUUCAAGCAUGUGCUUAAUUUAAGAACGUACUUAAUCAGGGCCUUCGGGCAUAAAAGGGUAAUGAUUAUUCUUGUGUUGCUGAGAAAAUCCAAGUGACAUCCGGAAGAUCUAUUACUCUGGAAAAUUCAGUGUUAUUCCAGCGUCCUCAUUUCAUCUUUCAAUUUCUGAAAAAGUAAUUCUUUUAAUUCCUCAUUGCUAUCUAGUGCUGUGAGUUCCUUCGCAGCUGUUUUACCCUCGAUUGUUAAUGCCAAGUGGAAUCAGAAAAUAUAAUCUGGUUCAGAUAAUAAUUAUGGAAGAUCAAUCCCGCAUCCGCCGCUUCCCUCCAUCCCCAUUAAACUUCCCAGCAUGUAAGAUAUGCAUGCUUGGCUCUGCAGGGAAGGCCAGCCAUGGCAAAAGGACCUUUAUUCCCUCUUGUACUCACAGUUUAACCAUUUCAAAACACCAUCUCCAUCCCCAGUGUUUUUCAUUGUGUUCGUUCCCAACUUCUUCUCUACGUAAUAUGUAAUUCCUGCAGAGAUUAGGUAUGGCGUUUGUGAUUUUAAGUAUGCUACAUGUAUUUGUUUUCUUUACAUUAUCAAGUGACUGUCUUCAUUAGCAGAUAAUUAGCACCCAUCAGAGUCCCAGAGUUGUCCCAAAGAAGCGGGCCAACCGGAGUGGCCUUGGCUUCUCCUGGUGAAUGACUUUGGACACCGCUGUACCACGGGGUUCUGAAAGGGGUUUGGGAAGCUGGGACACAGGUGGCUUUCCCACCCCCUCCCUUGGGAGAUAUCCAGCCUGCUGCUCGUGGGCAGGGCUUCAUCUGUGAGGUACUUUUAAGAUACCAUACAAAAAUAAAUAGAGGUACGUGUUUUAAGACUGAUUCUUGGUCUUGGAGAUAAGCAAGGG
ensembl:lncRNA